ensembl:lncRNA
AGCCGUAGGGUCAAAGGUUCUGCCGCAUGCAACAGCACUUUACCGGAGAAGCUGCAGAGUGGACCGAAGCUUCUGAAGUGUGUUCCUGACCUCUGCAGAUCCCCUUGUUUUUAGAUGAAAUGUUACAUUACGUUGUGCUCUGUUCAGGUGUAAUGGCUUCAAGCUCGCGCUACCCGAGGCUGCUGCUGAUAUUUGUUUCUAUUAUUGGUGCGGACCGAAGCUCUCACAACAUCCGACGUGUUUACUGCUGAGUGUAGAAUUAAAACCCUGGAGGGGGAGAAAAGAAACAUCGGGACGGAUCACAUGGGUCAAAAAAAAGCUUUAGUAUGAAAAAUCCUCAGCUUCAGUGUGAACACAGAGCGAGAGAGAGAGAGACGGGAUGUUCCUUAAAAAACAAAUUAUUAGAAACAAACAGAAACCAAUAACCUGCCCCCCACACACACACACACACACACACACACACACAGACAAAUGUAAGAUGUUCUGUCGGCAGCGCGGACACCCUGCAGCGGAAAAUAUGGAGAGAGAAAAAGAACAACAUCAACAAAACGGGGGGAUGAAAUUUCUCGGUGAGGGUGAAAAUGAGAAACGACAUAAUAAAGCGAUUCCAUUAAAAAGCCAUCUGACCGUUAAUAAAAGUAAUGAUUUGAUGAGAGCCGGAGGCGGCACCGGAGCAGGAGGAGGAGGUCCGGUCCCCCCCCCGAGAAGAAGAAAUGAGACAACAAAUGUGAAAGAGGACGUGAAAAACAAUGGCCGCCUCUCCCGUCUCGGCCUUAAUGAGAUCGGCCGCCGGCGCGGCCGAGGCUCCGCUGUUAUUUGUGGUCAGAGGUGAUGGCGGGAUCGGAUGAAACGCACAUCUCACACGGCGAGCGUCGACUUUCUCGUCUGCCGGAGGAUGUCAGAGGCGAUUUUCACAUUUGGGGCCAGAAUGGCGCCGGCUCUUAGCUCGUGGUUUUUAGCUCAUUCCGACGAGUACAUUCCAAUGCUUAAUAAAAUAAGAUGUGUUAUGAUGAUGAAAACUUACCGUACUUAGUUUGACUGGUGUAACUUCUGCUGAUCAAUCACAGGCUCCAUAGGUGUUAUUCACAGGAGGUGACCCUAUGUGGCCUGAGGAGGACCUCGCCGACCUGUCAAUCAGUGUGCAGCCCCGUCCUAAAGCAUCGCCUGCCCAGAGCUAACAUCACAUGAUCACAUCCACUGCUGGAAAUGAUUUGUUGAGUAAAUAAUAUUGAUGAAGAGUCCGUUCUUUUUAAACAAAACUAUAUAUGUGGGGUCUCCAGCAAUGAGCCUGGAGCUGGAGCCACAAACAGGAAGUCACAGUCUUGAGAGACAAAGUCCUUGUUGGUUGGAGUCUGAACAUAAAAAUGUGGAUUUAUUCUUUAACGCUACAACACACGAAGCCCGAAGGCAGAUCCUGUGACCGCUGAUCAAAGACGACCUUUUUCACCUCACUUCUCCAACAUGUGAUUAUAUAUUUCUGUUCGCGCCUUUUUGUCCCUCAGACCUUUACGACAUGACGUGAUCCACCAGGCGCUUCAGUUAUUCCUACAAACAGAGGGAGGAAGGGAAUAGAUUUGGGCGUUUAGCGCUUAUUCAGAUGAAAACUUUUAGACUGCACAUGAACCAUAAAUGAGAAAAGAGAAACAGAAAAAGCAGGAAAAGCACAAUAAAGAGGAGGAGGGGAACAGAAAAGUUGAGCCGAGAACGGAGGGAAAAGGAGAUAGAAGAGGAGGGAGGAGGAGGAGGAGGAGCAGAAGAAAGAGGAGGGAAACAGAGAGAGGAAAAAUAAAGCAAACGAAGCCCAUAGAAGAAAGUGGGAAAAAGAGAAGUUACCAAAGAAGGGUGAGAUAGAUACGUGGCAGGAAUUAGGAGACAAGAGGGAAAUAGACGAGGAGUGAAGAUGAGAAGGAGAGAGGAGGAGGGAGGAUAACGACUAAGAGAUGAAGAUGUUUGAAUCUCUUCACCUCCACGUGCUCUGCCAACCAAAACUAAAAUAAACAAUAAGUGUAGUAAAUGAAUCAAUUCUCAUUUUUCUGACUGAAACACUUUUUUUGGUUUCUUCUUUCCAACACACAUAUAAAUACUUAGAUGUAAAUGUACUGCAUUAUGAAAUUAAAUAUGACUGCUGAGGACAAAAAAGAGGUAAAAAGAUGGCGUCUUUGUGUGGGGGGCCAAUGUGGGCGGAGCUUCACUGCAGGACAUCCUUGAAUCAGAAGCAGGAGGAACGGCGCCUUAAGUGAAUUUAAAAAUGCAGGGAUGAUUAGGCGGGUACUAAUUAAGAAGCGGUGGACGGCGCCUCUCCUCCUCGCGGUCAUCAUAUUUCAGCUGGUUCCUCCGGACGGAGCUCGCAGAGCUGCAACCGGUGACAUCAGACGCAGAGUCCAAACGAAAUUAAAAAGGAAGAAAGUCAGACUCUGCUUCUAUUUCAAAGUCGUCAUAUUAAUUGUGUCUGUCUGCUGAGAAACAUGGAUAUUUUUAUAAUUCAAUGGGUGUGAUUUAUAAGCGCAGGAGGCUGAAGAGACGAGUCCAGACUCAAUGUUCACAUCCAGCAGAUGAAAAGGAACCAGAGAAAAGCUGAUGUCACUUCCUGUUUCACCUCUUCAGUCUUUGUUUGGUCCUCGCCGGUGUUUCAUUUACUCACCUGGACGCCCCGCUACUUUAACGCCCGAUGGUCCCCAACUUGUUUGUCUGAUUUGGAUUUUCAUACAUUGUUCCUGUCAUUCCUGAAAGAAGUGUUUGUGCACCUUUCACUUUCAGAAUCAAGCUUUGUGUUUUUACUUGUUCAUAAUUCGUGUACAUUCCUCUUCAUUCACAUUCAUCCGCCGCUGAAAGUAGUCCCCAACAAAUGCACCGUUCCCCCCUUUUUAUUUGGUGCUUUAACCGACCUUUGUCGAGCGUCAGACCCAUCUCUGCACGGCCUCCGUUUCCAGCUUUUUAAGCAUCCGUGAGUUGAUGCUUCUGUACUUUUAUGAUGUUGUUAUUUGUGUAUACAAAAAAAAUUAAUGGUGCUAAAAAUGAUCACGACACAGAUGCUUCGACAGACGAUUCCUCAAAGUCAAUAUUUCACGUACGUCCCUGGUUGAAUAAUUAUGAGACAUGUUGUGUGUUGAUGAGACUGAGCCAUUUCAAUAUGCUUAUUAUUCACGACACUAAUAUUCAUAGCAGAUGGGUGAUAGAAUUUUUGUUUUGACUGUAAACUUUAUUCUCGAUAACGUGGUAAGACACUUAAUAUAAAAGGUGUUUCUUUACACAUUUCUUUAAAUUUGGGACCAGCAGGGUGAGAAUCAUGAUUUAAUGCCCAAAGUCCUCAAAGGAAGUUCGUUCUGUGUGAAUAUCUUUACUUCUGAGGUGAAAUAAUUCAGAUCAACAAGUUUAUGAAAGUUUAUUAAGUGCUCAAUUUCGCCAUAUUUCACACACACACACACUCACACACCAUACACACCAUAUACUGAGACAGUGAGACGCUGAGACAUUGAGACACCGAGACAUUGAGACACCGAGACACUGAGACAUUGAGACAUUGAGACGCCGAGACACUGAGACAUUGAGACGCCGAGACAUUGAGACACUGAGACCCCGAGACAUUGAGACACUGAGACCCCGAGACACAGAGAAACCGAGACAGUGAGACAUUGAGACGUCGAGACACUGAGACACUGAGACAUUGAGACACCGAGACACCGAGACACUGAGACAUUGAGACGUCGAGACACUGAGACACUGAGACGUCGAGACGCAGAGACAGUAUUAAACUGUUUAUGAAUGAUAAAUAAUAACACACACUGACUUUAGUUUCCAUUGGACACUGAAGAUAUUCUUCUUCUUCUUCUUCUUCUUCUUCGUUGAACUUCUACAAACGGAUGUUAAUGUCUUUCUAGGGUCUAAAUUAUUUAAUCGAAUGUUUUUCCUAUUCCAGAUAAUAUUGGACAUCCGUCAAAAUAAACCCUGCCGUGGUAUUUCUGGUCCAUUUUGUAGUUCAAAGUCUCAUAGAGUCUCAAAGUGUCCACAAAAGGGUUUUAAUAACAGCAUCAUUAUUGAGGGAGCAAAAACGAUAACAAUCUAUUAUUCUGACAAAAACCUAAACACAACUUUUGAUUUGGGGUGAAUAUGAAAUGUUUCCAGGAGCUUUAAACUUUUUGAAGACAUUAGAGAGACUCAGUGAAUCCGCGGUGACACCUGAGAGACAGAGAGAGACAACGAAAUGAAGAGAGAGAGAGGAGAAGAGGAGCGAGGCUUUAAGUCGGCCUCCAUUCGUCCCCCCUCUUCUCUUUGUGCCACCAAAUCUGCCGAGUGGAUUAACCGAAUCUUCCAGCGACUCUUCAAAGUCGACCCCCCCCCUGCGCUUCUUUAACUUCUUACAGCUGCAGAUACUCCGAACUUCUUUUCUUUAUCGGCCGCCGUGUGAUUAAACAAAAUCCUCCACAAAGAGCCCGCCAGUGAUUUACAGGCGGGGAACACGCACGGAGAAACACGAAUAUUUUAUAUAUAUAUAUAUAUAUAUACUUCUUUUUUCAAACCCCGAGUCUCGGCCGAUAAAAGGGAGAAGUUAACAAAGAGAAAGAGAGUCGCUCUUAUCGGUCAGGAGGAGCACGAUGAUAUCGCAGAGCAGAGAAUAUAUUCGCCUUAUUCCUCGGUUGUGAUUGGCAGCUCCUUUCAGAGGUCAGGCCCCGCCCACAAAGACGGACAUUGUUGAAGUCUGCAAACCACAGCAGAUUAUCAAGAAACCAACAGGCCGGAGGGAGUGAGCAGCACUUUCAUCACUUCCUCUACAGAUACAGAGUUUGCAAUGUGAAGUUUUAUCCUCUGGGGAGCAGGAAGAUGAACUUUAACUCCUAUUUCCACGACCUCACACUGUGAUCAGGUGAAUAUUUAAUAUAUUAAAUAUGUUAUAUUUGCUGCAACUCGUCAAAAACCGACCAAACGUUUCAUCUUCAUCUUCCUUUUCCUCUCUUUGCAGCAGCCGUCACAGCGAUGGGACAAAUGUCCCCGAGCUGCUUUAACUGUGAUGUUUGUUAUUUAAUAUCAGGAAAGAGUCACGACUCGAGACGUGGGGGUCCAGUCCUGUGUGAGGUUUCUGUUUCUAUAAGGAAAUAUUCAGAACAAAGAAAUGUUGUUGGCGAAACACUCAAUGUCCAGGUCAUUUUAGUAAAGUUACCAAACACGAGACAGUAGAUUUAAAUCAACAAACUGUAAAUGAAUAUUACAUUAUAUUACCGUGUUUUCAUGUCCCAUAACAUGUUGUCCAGUGAUUCAUGCUGAGGGAAAAAUAAUGAACUAAACGGUUUUUAUCACCACGAUCUAAGGGGAGAAAUAUUAGUUAUUUCUUGCAGUGAAUGAACUCAAAAAAAGAAACGCACCUGAGGAGUCAUUCUCAUCUCCAUCAGACGUGCAGCUUUGCAUUGUGGGAUAUAUACCAGGAGAUAAUUAAGUUUAUGAGUUAAAUCUGACCCACGUGCCUCAAACCACAGAGGGUCUCAAAAUAAUAAUAAUGACAAUAAUGAUAAUGAUUAUAAUGAUGAUAAUAAUAAUGAUAAUGAUAAUGGAAGAUUAUUGUUGAUUAUUGUUGUAGAACAGUAAAAUGUAGUCAGAGCUCAUUUGUAACAAGGAAUUUGCAUUACAAAGAAUGUAAACACAGACAAAAACAUGGCCGUCGUCUUCACACUAAAAACACAACAUGAAGAAAACAUUGUUAAAUGAGCGAAAUAUUAAAGGGAAAACUUUGGACCGUUGGUAGUGAUAUUCAAACACCAGCACAUGUAGAACAGGAAUCCGUCCCGUUUGAUCAUUCCCCGACAGACCCCCCUCCCCCAGCCCCCCCGGACUGACAGGGCCCCGCCGCUAAUCCGGCGUUAGCCAGGUAGCUCUCUCCCAGCUGGAGUAAAUACCUGCUCAAGCCUCUCAGAGACGUCUCCUUCCUCCACGACUUUCAGCCAAAUUAACUCCGUCUCACUGACGCUCAAGCAGGUGCUGCUGGGGGCGCUCGGGGGGGGGGGGCCACUAAAUACCUUCUGCCGGAGGCCACACAUUAUUUAUAAGUAAAGAAAUAAAAAGCUAACUCGUUAGGAUCGGAGAUGCACUUCUGUAGAGGUGAUUCAGAAUGAAGUUUCCUGAACAAGGUUCAAAAAGCUUCCAUGUCCAGCCAAUGAAAAGCCUCCUCGUCCGUGUCGUUCACGUACGUGUGACAUGGAAUAAAAACACAGGAAGCAGAAGUCUCCACCCGAGCUCCUCCGUCUCCUGUCUCCAGGCUUGGGAGGGACGGCUUGCAGACACAUGCCGAGUUGCAGCAACACGACUCCUCUUUGAACCUGAAGCAGUUUGUUGGUGGAAACAUUUCUUCAAAGAAGCAGUCGGAGCUUUUAUGGAACGUGGAAAAAAGCCAAAACAGAUCAACAAUGAACGUUCAACCGUUUCUCUGCCUGGAUUUAUCUGUUGUUAAAGCUGUUUUCAAUAUUCUGUGUUGUAUUUAUUGUAGAUGUUUGAAGCUCGUCACGUGCACUUGCUUCUUUACAAUUGGUUCACAUGUUCCAAACCUUUUGCUAAUGAAACGAUAAUCAAAUCAUUUCCGACUAAUCUUCUGGUUGUUUGAUGGACAAUGAAGAGACGGAGAGGGAGCGAUGUGUUCACAUGACGGUUCAUCCUCAGUCUGCUGCGUGACCCUCAAACACCUUCUAGGAGAACACGCGAAGAUCCAUGUUACAUUUUGUUUGUAGUGUUUCCAGUCAGGAAUAAAGAAACAUAUUUAGCUCAUGAACACAUAUUUUGGGUGCGGAUGAUUGUGUUUUAUGACAACGAGUGUUUGCAAUCGUUCCCCUGCGUCAGAAUGCGUUCCAGUUUUUCCCACAGUGAGGAUUUAAAUUUAGAAUUCAAAGCCGUGGGAUUUUAUUCUUGAAGAGAAUAAAUAAUGAAUGAAAGCAGCUGAUGUAGGACACGACUAACCCCCCACGAGCGCUGCCGCCCCCCCAG